rnacentral:piRNA from 1 species
UGAAUCCAGCAGUGUGACUAUUCGUGC